ACGGGUGAGUAAUAUAUCGGAACGUACCUUUGAGUGGGGGAUAACUAGUCGAGAGAUUAGCUAAUACCGCAUACGAUCUACGGAUGAAAGUGGGGGAUCGCAAGACCUCAUGCUCAUAGAGCGGCCGAUAUCUGAUUAGCUAGUUGGUGAGGUAAAGGCUCACCAAGGCUUCGAUCAGUAGCUGGUCUGAGAGGACGACCAGCCACACUGGGACUGAGACACGGCCCAGACUCCUACGGGAGGCAGCAGUGGGGAAUUUUGGACAAUGGGGGCAACCCUGAUCCAGCAAUGCCGCGUGAGUGAAGAAGGCCUUCGGGUUGUAAAGCUCUUUUGUCAGGGAAGAAACGGGGGUUCCUAAUACGGGCCCCUAAUGACGGUACCUGAAGAAUAAGCACCGGCCAACUACGUGCCAGCAGCCGCGGUAAUACGUAGGGUGCAAGCGUUAAUCGGAAUUACUGGGCGUAAAGCGUGCGCAGGCGGUUAUGUAAGACAGGUGUGAAAUCCCCGGGCUUAACCUGGGAAUGGCAUUUGUGACUGCAUAGCUAGAGUGUGUCAGAGGGGGGUAGAAUUCCACGUGUAGCAGUG
rnacentral:rRNA from 1 species